CCUACGGGUGGCAGCAGUGAGGAAUAUUGGUCAAUGGCCGUAAGGCUGACCCAGCCAAGUAGCGUGAGGGAAGACUGCCCUAUGGGUUGUAAACCUCUUUUAUGCGGGGAUAAAGGUGUCCACGUGUGGAUGUUUGCAGGUACCGCAUGAAUAAGGACCGGCUAGUUCCGUGCCCGCAGCCGCGGUAAUACGGAAGGUCCGGGCGUUAUCCGGAUUUCUUGGGUUUAAAGGGAGCGUAGGCCGGUCUUUAAGCGUGCCGUGAAAUUUUGUGGCUCAACCAUGGGAGUGCGGCGCGAACUGGAGACAUUGAGUGCGCGGAAGGCAGGCGGAAUUCGUGGUGUAGCGGUGAAAUGCUUAGAUAUCACGAAGAACCCCGAUGGCGAAGGCAGCCGGCCGCAGCGUUACUGACGCUGAAGCUCGAAAGCGCGGGUAUCGAACAGGAGUAGAUACCCAAGUAGUC
rnacentral:rRNA from 1 species